rnacentral:rRNA from 1 species
GACGUAGGGCGCGAGCGUUGUCCGGAUUUAUUGGGCGUAAAGAGCUCGUAGGCGGCUUGUCGCGUCGAAUGUGAAAUCUCAGGGCUCAACUCUGACAUUGCAUUCGAUACGGGCAGGCUAGAGUUCGGUAGGGGAGACUGGAAUUCCUGGUGUAGCGGUGAAAUGCGCAGAUAUCAGGAGGAACACCGGUGGCGAAGGCGGGAUCUCUGGGCCGUGA